CCUACGGGAGGCAGCAGUGGGGAAUAUUGCACAAUGGGCGCAAGCCUGAUGCAGCGACGCCGCGUGAGGGAUGAAGGCCUUCGGGUUGUAAACCUCUUUCAGUAGGGAAGAAGCGAAAGUGACGGUACCUGCAGAAGAAGCGCCGGCUAACUACGUGCCAGCAGCCGCGGUAAUACGUAGGGCGCAAGCGUUAUCCGGAAUUAUUGGGCGUAAAGAGCUCGUAGGCGGUUUGUCGCGUCUGCCGUGAAAGUCCGGGGCUUAACUCCGGAUCUGCGGUGGGUACGGGCAGACUAGAGUGCAGUAGGGGAGACUGGAAUUCCUGGUGUAGCGGUGAAAUGCGCAGAUAUCAGGAGGGACACCGAUGGCGAAGGCAGGUCUCUGGGCUGUAACUGACGCUGAGGAGCGAAAGCAUGGGGAGCGAACAGGAUUAGAUACCCUGGUAGUCCAUGCCGUAAACGUUGGGCACUAGGUGUGGGGGACAUUCCACGUUUUCCGCGCCGUAGCUAACGCAUUAAGUGCCCCGCCUGGGGAGUACGGCCGCAAGGCUAAAACUCAAAGGAAUUGACGGGGGCCCGCACAAGCGGCGGAGCAUGCGGAUUAAUUCGAUGCAACGCGAAGAACCUUAC
rnacentral:rRNA from 1 species